UGGGGAAUUUUGCGCAAUGGGGGAAACCCUGACGCAGCAACGCCGCGUGCGGGACGACGGCCUUCGGGUUGUAAACCGCUUUCAGCAGGGAAGAAAUUCGACGGUACCCGCAGAAGAAGCUCCGGCUAACUACGUGCCAGCAGCCGCGGUAAUACGUAGGGAGCGAGCGUUAUCCGGAUUCAUUGGGCGUAAAGAGCGCGUAGGCGGCCUCUCAAGCGGGAUCUCUAAUCCGAGGGCUCAACCCCCGGCCGGAUCCCGAACUGGGAGGCUCGAGUUCGGUAGAGGCAGGCGGAAUUCCCGGUGUAGCGGUGGAAUGCGCAGAUAUCGGGAAGAACACCGAUGGCGAAGGCAGCCUGCUGGGCCGCAACUGACGCUGAGGCGCGAAAGCUAGGGGAGCGAACAGGAUUAGAUACCCUGGUAGU
rnacentral:rRNA from 1 species